GAAGGCUGAGCGCGGGCUCUCAAGGAAAGUAGUCGCGGAAUCUCAGUUAGCGGUGGAGAGGCUGUAUGUCCGGUUCAAUGGCGACUGCGGAAGCUAGCGGCAGCGAUGGGAAAGGGCAGGAAGUCGAGACCUCAGUCACCUAUUACCGGAUGGAGGAGGUGGCAAAGCGCAACUCCUUGAAGGAACUGUGGCUUGUGAUUCAUGGGCGAGUCUACGAUGUCACCCGCUUCCUCAACGAGCACCCUGGAGGAGAAGAGGUUCUGCUGGAACAAGCUGGUGUAGAUGCAAGUGAAAGCUUUGAAGAUGUAGGACACUCUUCUGAUGCCAGAGAAAUGCUAAAGCAGUACUAUAUUGGUGAUAUCCAUCCGAGUGACCUUAAACCUGAAAAUGGUAGCAAGGUAAGAAGUCAUCGGUUUGUCUUGUGUUUAUAUUUCUGUUUACUCAAGUAGAACUGCUUUUUGAAACAUUUUUUCUUAACAAGAAAAGUUACAAAGUAUUUACUUUUUCCCCAAGCAAAAAUCUUAUUUUUCAGGAAUUUGGACUCAGUAUCAUCUCAGGAAAUAAAGAAUAGCUGAGUCUUGAACAGUAGGAAACAUUUUGCUAAUGCUUCUAUACACUUUUUUUUUUUUUUUUAACUGAAACUCCAAAGCUAUGCCCUGUGUGGUUUUGAAAGAAAUUAGUUUAUGGGUUCAGUUGUAGAAAAAUACUUUGCUUUUACAUUAUGUAGAACAAGUGAUAAUCAUUGUUUCUGUGUUGGAAAAAAAUAAUUGCAAAGUUGUUUUGUUUCUUAUAGGUUAUCUUCUUUAUCUGUAAUACAGAGGCCUUUCUGUACUUAUUUUCCAAAUUUAAUUCUUUUAUCCUGUAGGCUCAAAUAGGCCCACACCCUUCCCGGUUACUUAGUAAUACAGCAGAAACAAAAGACUAAGUAUUUGAGUGUUUGAAAACUUUAAUGUGUACUGCAUUGCAUACCAGGAAGAAAAUAUGGAACCAUUUUCUGCCUCCCACAUGCUAGGUGGUUAAUUUCCCUUAUUCCCUAACAAUUUUCCUUAAUUUCUGUCCUUCAGAUAGCUGUUACACAAAACUCUAAUUUAAAGGGACAGCAGUUUAGGUGCCACCUAGAACAUAGGAAAGUGAUGCUGCCUCCCUUCCAUUUUCUUCCUCCUUGCUGCUUGCUUCCCAUUCCUCAUUGAGCCGGAAUUACUGAAUAGGUUUGACACAGCAAUUAAAGUUGGCCUAGACACAAGAAUUCUGUUAACUCAAGAGAUUGCUUGCUUAACAGUGUCUGCCAUCUAUUGCCCUGCAAUCCAGAGUGUUUGUGUAAAUUAACUCUUCCAUCUUGCUAGACUGCUACUCUGAACUAUUGAAUUGUUUCUGAAAGGGGAAUGAAAUGGUUCUUAAAACAUUUUGUAACAACUGUUGGUUGUUUGUCCUCUCCUCCUAACACAUGUACUAUCCAUUCUUGAAUCCUUAAAAAAAAAAUUAAAUAGUUCAAAACAGUAUUCUGUAAAAAGUUUUCCUCCUGUCUCCAGCUCUCAGUGUCUUAGUUCCCCUUCCCUGGAGGUAACCAGCCAUCAUUUUUUGUUGUUGCUUACUCUUAAUAACUUGUGUUAUUACGGUAAAAUUUGAACUAAGCGUGGCCUUGAUUUGUAUAUUGAACAUGUCCAGAAAAUACCACUCUCAGAGGUCAACAUCUGAUUCAAGGGAUAUAGGAGCCAUAACACAUUUCUGCACAGCAACUAUGAGAGCAUCUUUUAUAUUAAAACAAUAGAAAAAAUAUGUUUGCAAUUACAAUGUCUACAAGUCUACAGAUUGCUUCUUUUUGCUGUUCUUUCUUGGUAGUACAGUUAGGACCAUUCUUAGGAAUGUAGAACAAUGUUCCCCAAAUUCUGUUCUUGUAUCACCUCAAUUGGAAUCCCUUGGUAUGUACAUGAAUAUAUAUAGGAAAUGUGUAUUUCUUGGGUUUCUACUGCUUUGGAAUCUCUGGAGAUAGGGUUUAGGAAUUUGCAAUUUAAGUAAUCUAGGUGAUAAGUAGGUAGCUAAGCCCAAACUUUUUGCUGAAUGAUACGCCCAUCUUUUCAUUUGAAAACUUAGGAAAAUUUAAUUCUCUUCUGUGGUAAGCAUUGUCUGCCUUCUAUAGGCCAAAGAAUUAGAGAUUUCUCAGCUGAAUUCAAACUAUUGAGCCAUCCAGGUGCAGUGGCUCACGCCUGUAAUCCCUACACUUUGGGAGGCUGAGAUGGGAGGAUCGCUUGAGCCCAGCAGUUGGAGACCAGCCUGGGCAACAUGGUGAGACCCUGUCUCUAUUUUUAAAAAAUCAUAAAAUUAGCUGAGCAUGGUAAUGUGUGCCUGCAGUCCCAACUACUGGGGAGGCCGAGGCUGGAGGAUAGCUUGAGCCCGGGAGUUUGAGGCUGCAGUGAGCCAUGAUAACACCAUCGCACUUCCAUCUGGGUAACAGCAUGACCCCAUCUCAAAAAAAAAAAAAAAAAAA
rnacentral:sRNA from 1 species